UACGGAGGGUGCAAGCGUUAAUCGGAAUUACUGGGCGUAAAGGGUGCGUAGGCGGUUGUUUAAGUCUGUUGUGAAAUCCCCGGGCUCAACCUGGGAAUGGCAAUGGAUACUGGGCAGCUAGAGUGUGUCAGAGGAUGGUGGAAUUCCCGGUGUAGCGGUGAAAUGCGUAGAGAUCGGGAGGAACACCAGUGGCGAAGGCGGCCAUCUGGGACAACACUGACGCUGAAGCGCGAAAGCGUGGGGAGCAAACCGG
rnacentral:rRNA from 1 species